UCAUUCUGCGUGUCCCAGCUUGGUGUGGGUAGGGGUGCAUGAAGUCAGAAUGUUGUAGGUGUUGUAACUGGCCAGGCAGUGUCUCUAAAGCAACAAGAAAUGAGCCCUUCUAGAGGCAUGCCUACGGAUGUCAAGGUGGGGGGCUGUCGCCUUUUCCUUCCUUGGGCUGAGCACAGAGAACUAAGAGGUGUUUUCAUCUGGGGGAGGGAAGCCCAUCCAAGAGCCAUCAUCAGCCUCCAGGCCUAUGGUCCUUGAUGUGCUUAGGACAGUUUUACUGGGGUGGUGUUAGUCCUUUGGCUCCCAGGUUUUCCCUUUAAGGUUUGCUCUCUGCUUGAUUUGCCGUUAUAGUGUUCGGUAAACGUUCUCCAUUCAAAGUCCUCAGACUCUGUACUGCGUGUUCCUUUCUCUGAAAGCCCAUCAACAGCUUUGGGAACAGAGGAAAUGGGGACCCUUUAGGGUAGAGAAGAACAUUUAAUAUGAGAAACACUUCUGUGGUGUGAACAGCUGGCUGCUGCAUCCAAGAGGCUUACGAUGCAUCGUUCUUCCAAUGUCCUGACACUGUGCUUAGAAGAGAUUUGAUCCUUUCUCCGGCAGAAAGAUGAGCAAGGUUGUGCAGUAUCCAGAAUACUUGGACCUUGGCACAUACAUGUGUCAAGCACUUGGAGAGCCACUGCUCUAUUCCUUGUAUGCUGUCCUGGUACACAAAGGUUUCAGCCCUCAGCAGGACACUUACUGCUUCAUAAAGGUACAAGUCAACUUUGUUUCCAGCAAUAUAAAUAUCAGUGCCGACGAAGAGAAAGGGUGAUGCAGGUGCUCCUGGCAAGCACUGUUCUUAGGGAAAAUCCUCAGGGGGGUACUUGUUUUGAUUUGUGUUUGUGUGUUGUGUCCUUCAGCAGAGUCCUGUCUGUGUUUUUUUCCCUAAACUCUGCAGUUAAUCCAAAGAUGGUGUUGCCUUUCUUUGCAGGCCAACCCCAGGCAUUUGUAGGAGGUGAACGAUGACUCUGCGGCUCUUUGUGAUAUUAAGACAGUUCUCUGCCAACAUGCGUAUUUACUCUUUUGUGUCAGGUGCCAGGAGCAGGCUGGAGCAGGCGCUGAAUGCCAACAGACAAAGAACGUUUCCGUGGCAGAGCUGGAUCAAGGUCAGAAUAGUCUGUUUCCUGGAGGCAUCGCGGGACUGCAGGAUCAAGAAGGUGAAGAAAAUAUGCAGAGGAUCCAAGGGAAGAG